rnacentral:rRNA from 1 species
AUGAACGCUGGCGGCGUGCCUAAUACCUGCCAGUCGAGCGAACAGAUGAGGAGCUUGCUCCUCUGACGUUAGCGGCGGACGGGUGAGUAACACGUGGAUAACCUACCUAUAAGACUGGGAUAACUUCGGGAAACCGGAGCUAAUACCGGAUAAUAUAUUGAACCGCAUGGUUCCAUAGUGAAAGACGGUUUUGCUGUCACUUAUAGAUGGAUCCGCGCCGCAUUAGCUAGUUGGUAAGGUAACGGCUUACCAAGGCAACGAUGCGUAGCCGACCUGAGAGGGUGAUCGGCCACACUGGAACUGAGACACGGUCCAGACUCCUACGGGAGGCAGCAGUAGGGAAUCUUCCGCAAUGGGCGAAAGCCUGACGGAGCAACGCCGCGUGAGUGAUGAAGGUCUUCGGAUCGUAAAACUCUGUUAUUAGGGAAGAACAAAUGUGUAAGUAACUAUGCACGUCUUGACGGUACCUAAUCAGAAAGCCACGGCUAACUACGUG